rnacentral:rRNA from 1 species
GACGGAGGGUGCAAACGUUGUUCGGAAUCACUGGGCAUAAAGAGCACGUAGGCUGCGCGCUAAGUCAGGUGUGAAAUCCCCCGGCUCAACCGGGGAACUGCACCUGAUACUGGCGUGCUCGAGGACGGUAGGGGUGAGUGGAACUCCAGGUGGAGCGGUGAAAUGCGUAGAGAUCGGAAAGAACACCAACGGCGAAAGCACUCUGCUGGGCCGACACUGACACUGAGAGACGAAAGCUAGGGGAGCGAAUGGG